UACGGGGGGGGUAAGCGUUGUUCGGAAUUACUGGGCGUAAAGGGCUCGUAGGCGGCCAACUAAGUCAUACGUGAAAUCCCUCAGCUUAACUGGGGAACUGCGUGUGAUACUGGAUGGCUUGGAUUUGGGAGAGGGAUGCGGAAUUCCAGGUGUAGCGGUGAAAUGCGUAGAUAUCUGGAGGAACACCGGUGGCGAAGGCGACGUCCUGGACCGGCAUUGACGCUGAGGCGCGAAAGCCAGGGGAGCAAACGGG
rnacentral:rRNA from 1 species